GUGCUUGCUUUGGGAGCACAUAUACUAAAAUUGGAAUGAUACAGAGAAGAUUAGCAUGGGCCCUUUGCAAAAAUUAUUUUAAAACAUUAAAAUUUUAA
rfam:Nomascus leucogenys chromosome 19, whole genome shotgun sequence.